rnacentral:rRNA from 1 species
GACGAACGCUGGCGGCGUGCUUAACACAUGCAAGUCGAACGGAAAUUCCCUGCUUUUGUUGGGUGCUCGAGUGGCGAACUUGUUAGUAACACGUGAGUAACCUGCCCUUGACUUUGCUAUAACUUCCGGAAACUUGGGCUAAUACCGGAUAUGGUCUCCUGCUGCAUGUUGGUUGUUUGAAAGUUUCGGCGGUUGGGGAUGGCCUUGCGGCGUAUCAGAUUGUUGGGUGGGUAGUGGCUUACCAAGGCUUUGACGGGUAGCCGGCCUGCGAGGGGUACCGGCAACAUUGGGACUGAGAUGCGGCCCAGACUACUACGGGAGGCAGCAGUGGGGAAUAGUGCACAAUGGGCGGAAGCCUGAUGCAGCAAAGCGGCGUGCGGGAUGACGGCCUUCGGGUUGUAAACCGCUUUCGCCUGUGAAGAAGAGUGAGUGACGGUAAUGGGUAAAGAAGCACCGGCUAACUACGUG